rnacentral:rRNA from 1 species
CCUACGGGAGGCAGCAGUGAGGAAUAUUGGUCAAUGGGCGCGAGCCUGAACCAGCCAAGUCUCGUGAAGGAUGACUGCCCUACGGGUUGUAACCUUCUUUUAUAAAGGAAUAAAGUGAGGCACGUGUGCCUUUUUGUAUGUACUUUAUGAAUAAGGAUCGGCUAACUCCGUGCCAGCAGCCGCGGUAAUACGGAGGAUCCGAGCGUUAUCCGGAUUUAUUGGGUUUAAAGGGAGCGUAGAUGGGUUGUUAAGUUAGUUGUGAAAGUUUGCGGCUCAACCGUACAAUUGCAUUUGAUACUGGCAGGCUUGAGUACAGUUGAGGUAGGCGGAAUUCGUGGUGUAGCGGUGAAAUGCGUAGAUAUGACGAAGAACACCGAUGGCGAAGGCAGCUUACUAGACUGCCACUGACAUUGAUGCGCGAAAGUGUGGGUAUCAAACAGGAUUAGAUACCCGUGUAGUC